rnacentral:rRNA from 1 species
AUUGAACGCUGGCGGCAGGCCUAACACAUGCAAGUCGAGCGGGGUUUUCGGACCUAGCGGCGGACGGGUGAGUAAUGCGUAGGAAGCUGCCCGAUAGAGGGGGAUACCAGUUGGAAACGACUGUUAAUACCGCAUAAUGUCUACGGACCAAAGUGUGGGACCUUCGUGCCACAUGCUAUCUGAUGCGCCUACGUGGGAUUAGCGAUUUGGUGAGGUAGUGGCGAACCAAGGCGACGAUCUCUAGCUGGUGUGAGAGGAUGAUCAGCCAGACUGGAACUGAGACACGGUCCAGACUCCUAGGGGAGGCAGCAGUGGGGAAUAUUGGAGAAUGGGCGCAAGCCUGAUCCAGACAUGCCGCGUGUGUGAAGAAGGCCUUCUGGUUGUAAAGCACUUUCAGCGAGGAGGAAGGGGUUGUAGUUAAUAGCUGCAACCUUUGACGUUACUCGCAGAAGAAGCACCGGCUAACUCUGUGCCAGCCGCCGCCGUAAAAC